rnacentral:other from 1 species
CUUCAACUGCGGAGCGCGCCAGGCGGGACAUAUUGGAUCCCGAACAGGCUUUACCAGGGGUGUCUGCCUCAUCGUGGUGAGCCAGGCCCGGAACAUCUUCACCGGGAGGCCAGAAGCGAUGAAACUGGUGCCCCACCUAGCUGCUUGGCUAGGGGUUCAGCGUUUCCGCCAGCGGCUCGGCGGUUGAGGU